rnacentral:rRNA from 1 species
UACGGAGGGGGCUAGCGUUGUUCGGAAUCAUUGGGCGUAAAGGGCGCGUAGGCGGCCGAUCAAGUCGGAGGUGAAAUCCCUCGGCUCAACUGAGGAACUGCCUUCGAUACUGUUCGGCUUGAGUCCUGGAGAGGGUAGCGGGAUUCCCGGUGUAGCGGUGAAAUGCGUAGAGACCGGGAAGAACACCAGUGGCGAAGGCGGCUACCUGGACAGGUACUGACGCUGAAGCGCGAAAGCUAGGGGAGCAAACAGG